rnacentral:rRNA from 1 species
GGGAAACUGCCUGAUGGAGGGGGAUAACUACUGGAAACGGUAGCUAAUACCGCAUAACGUCGCAAGACCAAAGAGGGGGACCUUCGGGCCUCUUGCCAUCAGAUGUGCCCAGAUGGGAUUAGCUAGUAGGUGGGGUAAUGGCUCACCUAGGCGACGAUCCCUAGCUGGUCUGAGAGGAUGACCAGCCACACUGGAACUGAGACACGGUCCAGACUCCUACGGGAGGCAGCAGUGGGGAAUAUUGCACAAUGGGCGCAAGCCUGAUGCAGCCAUGCCGCGUGUAUGAAGAAGGCCUUCGGGUUGUAAAGUACUUUCAGCGGGGAGGAAGGUGCUGAGGUUAAUAACCUCAGCAAUUGACGUUACCCGCAGAAGAAGCACCGGCUAACUCCGUGCCAGCAGCCGCGGUAAUACGUAGGGUGCGAGCGUUAAUCGGAAUUACUGGGCGUAAAGCGUGCGCAGGCGGUGAUGUAAGACAGUUGUGAAAUCCCCGGGCUCAACCUGGGAACUGCAUCUGUGACUGCAUCGCUGGAGUGCGGCAGAGGGGGAUGGAAUUCCGCGU